rnacentral:rRNA from 1 species
AUACGUAGGGGGCGAGCGUUGUCCGGAUUUAUUGGGCGUAAAGGGUGCGUAGGCGGCCUUGUAGGUCAGAUGUGAAAGAUCAUGGCUUAACUGUGGUAAGCAUUUGAAACUGCAGGGCUUGAGUACAGGAGAGGAGAGUGGAAUUCCUAGUGUAGCGGUGAAAUGCGUAGAUAUUAGGAGGAAUACCAGUGGCGAAGGCGACUCUCUGGACUGAUACUGACGCUGAGGCACGAAAGCGUGGGGAGCAAACAGGAUUAGAUACCCUGGUAGUCCACGCUAUAAACGAUGAGUGCUAGGUGUCGGGGGUCAAACCUCGGUGCCGCAGUUAACACAUUAAGCACUCCGCCUGGGGAGUACGGCCGCAAGGCUGAAACUCAAAGGAAUUGACGGGG